AGGACACCACACCCACACGGUGAGGGGCAGACAAGGCCGGACACAGAGCAGGUCUCCCACGCCCUCCCCCUCCGCCAGGCCUCCUGCUGGAACUGAUAACCCACGCCCUGGGCUCAGCGGAAUGGGCACCUGGACUAGCUCACUAGAGCACGCCGGCUGAGCAGAGCCCUAGAAACCAAGACUAAGAGACGACAAGCCCCAGCAGCCUGGGAGCACAGGAGGAACUGCUGCAGGUCAGCAGGCAGGGAGUGAGCUGCAGCUGGGAUGGGACCAGGGCCUUCCUCCUCCACCAAAUGGCGCAAGCAUACCCCUAGAGGGAAUGUUCUUCCAAGACAUUAUUACAGAAAAUCUACAUUAACCUUCCGUCUUUUCCACUGGGUAAAUGGAAAGGGCUCUGAUGGAGAACCUGGGCAGAGACGACUCGGCCGAGAAAUCCUAUGAGGAAGCAGGGCCUUGGCCGGCACUGAGUCUGCUGGAUCCUUGGCCUUGGGCUUCACGGCCUUUUUGUUGCUUCUAAGCCAUUUGGACUGUGGAAUCCACUUACAGUAGCGUCAACAGACCAAGAAGCACAGGAACGCCCCCCAGUGUGGUUUCCUCACUACACAUUAGGAUCCUAGAAGGAGCUAGCUGUCUCCCAGAAACUCAACUCAAAAUGCUCUCCCGUGGAAACAGAAAACCAAACAUGGCAAACUGCUAAAAGACUGCAUCCCAUAGGGCUGGGGAAGGAUUCCGUGGUUUCUUAGAUAAGCCACUAAAAGAAUUCGACCCCAAAAGGAAACAAGGAGGGCUAUAAGACAAGCCAUGUGUGGAGAAUACAUGCAUGCAAAAUAGCAUCUCACAAAGUACAGUCCCAAACAUAAAGAGAACUGUCAGACUUCAGUCCAAAGAAACCAGUCUCCCAGCUAAAUAAAGGAGCUGGAGAGUUUCGAACAGACAUGUCACCAAAAGUGACACAGGUGCCAAAGGAGCAAGUGAAGAGACUCCUCGUCCCUCGUCACCAGUGACAUGCAAAACCCAAAGUCCACAGGGAAACGCCACUCCACACCCAUCAGGGUGGCUAACAUAAACAGUAUAGUUGACAAGACCAAGUGUCGGGGAGAAGGAGCAACUGGACCACUCCUGCGUUGCUGUGGAUACGGAACAGAUUCGGAGCAUCUGGAGGAGUGUGACAUGUGCUUAGCAUCUGAAUCCCAAAACCCACCAACUUAGCCUGCUUCAUCCUCUCUUCCAAUUCCCAGGUUUUUAUAAAAUGGUCUUGGGUUUUGCAGGCUGAGUCUGGUCCCAUGUUUUCUGGCCUCUCUGCUUUAAAUGGAUUUCCCAUCUGCAGCAUGAUGGAAUCUGGGAACCUGAGAGAGAGGAGGCUGUCCCAUGCAUUUACAGGAUGUCAGCAGUGUCCCUGGCUGUGACAUCAACAGACUGCUCCACUCCAUCCCCAAGCUGUGACACCCACUAGAUGUUUGUAGACACUGCCAAUGUCUCAGAGAGCUGGGGACAGAAGACUCCUGGCUGAGAAGUACAGGUUUACAUAAAAUUCCUAAAGGAAUACUUCAUCUGUGCACCUUGGCCUCUAUAUCAGGUGUGGCGUCCUGUCCCAGCUCAGUGACCGUGAGAGCUAUCACACAACUUAAGGGCUACAGACUUAGAGCUGUGCUUUUACAAGCUGAUGGCUUUGGUCUGGGGGACAGAAGAUCAGAAGCAGCAACAGGAGACAGAGCCCAGGCUCUGAGUUUUCUGUUAAAGACAUGGAAGACACAAGCGACAUUCUCGUCUCUGGUGAUGGAGGGAGAAGGCAGAGGAAGAAAGGCAGAGCCCUGAGGGGCCACUCCUCAAAGAGGCAGACCCGAGGACUCAUGGGGACCUUUGCAUGCCAGCACGGCUCUCUGGCAGAGCUGUGCAAUGGGCAGGCAUGGCAGGCUGGGAGACCGAGUUCCACGCAGAUAAGCUGCAUUCCAGGACAGUGACGUCCUCGAAGUUACUGAAUGUAUUGGUGUCCCAUUUUUUUCCCAACCAGAAAAACAACCUAGUUUUUAACUGAGACGUUCCCAGGGUUCCUUCCAGGGAUAUGAUGUGCAGGGGCUAGGGAACUCUGAACCACUUAAUAAGCUGAGCUUCACGACAGGGACACAUUCUGAGAAACGUCAUUACACAAUUUCAUCAGCAUGCAAACGGGGGAAAAACCUUGGGAAAAACCUAACGAACUGACUUUCCCCUCACCACAGCUCCCUGGUUCAGCACGGCGACCACUGGCACAGCAGUUUACAUGGCAUGGGAAAUUAUGAAUGACCUAGAGGUGACUGAAGGCGCUCAGGAAGGUGUGUGCGGUUUGUAUGCAGAAUGCACCGUUGUACAGAUGCAGCAGCCGUGAACCUGUGGGUGUGCCCGAGUGAGUCAGUCCCUGAGCGGGUCCUGAGGAACAUCUAUGUGGUUCACUGAACUUAGUGCUGGCACCCCAAUGAGCUCUGGAAAGAGAGAGUACACAGGAGCCUCCAAUGAGUUGCUGAAAAGUAGGCCAUGCUCAGACCACAGCAAUCAAGCUUUGCUGCCUGGAAGAAUAGUUCCAAGGAUGCAAGCUUACUAAAUGGCAUUGUCCUGCUGAGAAGCUGAAAGGGCACAGAAGUCAAGCUGCUUCUUCUCAUGAAAACUUUCAAAUAAAACAACCAAGAGA